AGUGGCGGACGGGUGAGUAACGCGUGAGAAUCUGCCUCUAGGUUGGGGACAACAGUUGGAAACGACUGCUAAUACCCAAUGUGCCGUAAGGUGAAAGAUUUAUUGCCUGGAGAGGAGCUCGCGUCUGAUUAGCUAGUUGGUGAGGUAAAGGCUUACCAAGGCAUCGAUCAGUAGCUGGUCUGAGAGGAUGAGCAGCCACACUGGGACUGAGACGGCCCAGACUCCUACGGGAGGCAGCAGUGGGGAAUUUUCCGCAAUGGGCGAAAGCCUGACGGAGCAAUACCGCGUGAGGGAGGAAGGCCUUUGGGUUGUAAACCUCUUUUCUCAGGGAAGAAGAUCUGACGGUACCUGAGGAAUAAGCAUCGGCUAACUCCGUGCCAGCAGCCGCGGUAAUACGGAGGAUGCAAGCGUUAUCCGGAAUCAUUGGGCGUAAAGCGUCCGCAGGUGGUUUUUCAAGUCUGCUGUUAAAGACUGGAGCUCAACUCCGGAAAGGCAGUGGAAACUGAGAAACUAGAGUUCGGUAGGGGUAGCGGGAAUUCCCAGUGUAGCGGUGAAAUGCGUAGAUAUUGGGAAGAACAUCGGUGGCGAAGGCGCGCUACUGGACCGAAAACUGACACUCAGGGACGAAAGCUAGGGUAGCGAAAGGGAUUAGAUACCCC
rnacentral:rRNA from 1 species